GAUGAACGCUAGCUACAGGCUUAACACAUGCAAGCCGAGGGACCGGCGCACGGGUGAGUAACACGUAUCCAACCUGCCCUUUACUCGGGGAUAGCCUUCUGAAAGAAAGAUUAAUACUCGAUAUUACGGAUGGGGAUGCGUUCCAUUAGGUUGUUGGUGAGGUACCGGCUCACCAAGCCUUCGAUGGAUAGGGGUUCUGAAAGGAAGGUCCCCCACAUUGGAACUGAGACCCGGUCCAAACUCCGACGAGAGGCAGAAGUGAGAAAUAUUGGUGAAUGGGCGCUAGCCUGAGCCAGCCAAGUAGCGAGAAGGAUGAAAGUUUAUGGGUCGUAAACUUCUUUUGUAUAAGAAUGUGUAUUAUAUGAAUGAGGAUCGGCUGACUCCGUGCCAGCAGCCGCGGUAAUUC
rnacentral:rRNA from 1 species